UACAGAGGUCUCGAGCGUUGUUCGGAUUCAUUGGGCGUAAAGGGCGCGUAGGCGGCGGGGUAAGUCUGGUGUGAAAUCUCGGAGCUCAACUCCGAAAUUGCACUGGAUACUGCUCUGCUAGAGGGCUGGAGAGGAGAUCGGAAUUCACGGUGUAGCAGUGAAAUGCGUAGAUAUCUGGAGGAAUACCGGUGGCGAAGGCGGCAUCCUGGACCGACAUUGACGCUGAACGGCGAAAGCUAGGGGAGCAAACGGG
rnacentral:rRNA from 1 species